rnacentral:rRNA from 1 species
GACGAACGCUGGCGGCGUGCCUAAUACAUGCAAGUCGAGCGCUGAAGCUUUGUACUUUUGCCCACUGGAUGAGCAGCUGACGGGUGAGUAACGCGUGGGUAAUCUUCCUUUUAUCGGUGGACAACAUCUUGAAACGAAUUCUAAUACCGCAUAAUAACUUUAACCACAAGUUUUAAGUUUGAAUCAUGCAAUUGCAUCACUCAAAGGUCAUUCCGCGUUUUAUUAGCUAGUUGGUGAGGUAAAGGCUCACCAAGGCGAUGAUACAUAGGCGACCUGAGAGGGUGGUCGGCCCAAUUGGGAAUGAGACAAGGCCCAAGAUCCUUCGGGGAGGAGCAGUAGGGGAUCUUUGGAAAUGGACGAAAGUCUGAACGAGGAAAGCCGGGUGGGGGAAGGAGGUUUUCCGAUCGUAAAACUCUGUUGGUAGAGAAGAACGUUGGUGAGAGUGGAAAGCCCAUGAAGUGACGGUAACUAAACAGAAAGCGACGGCUAACUACGUG